UACGUAGGGUGCAAGCGUUAUCCGGAAUUAUUGGGCGUAAAGAGCUCGUAGGCGGUUUGUCGCGUCUGCUGUGAAAACCCGAGGCUCAACCUCGGGCCUGCAGUGGGUACGGGCAGACUAGAGUGCGGUAGGGGAGAUUGGAAUUCCUGGUGUAGCGGUGGAAUGCGCAGAUAUCAGGAGGAACACCAAUGGCGAAGGCAGAUCUCUGGGCCGUAACUGACGCUGAGGAGCGAAAGCAUGGGGAGCGAACAGG
rnacentral:rRNA from 1 species